rnacentral:rRNA from 1 species
GACGAACGCUGGCGGCGCGCCUAACACAUGCAAGUCGAGCGAGAACCAGGGCUUCGGCCCUGGGGACAGCGGCGAACGGGUGAGUAACACGUGGGUAAUCUGCCCUCGGCACCGGAAUAGCCCGGGGAAACCCGGAUUAAUGCCGGAUGGCCCCUUCACCUCGCGAGGUGUCGGGAAAAGGUAGCUUCGGCCUCUGGCCGAGGAUGAGCCCGCGGCGGAUUAGCUUGUUGGCGGGGUAACGGCCCACCAAGGCGACGAUCCGUAGCUGGUCUGAGAGGACGAUCAGCCACACUGGGACUGAGACGCGGCCCAGACUCCUACGGGAGGCAGCAGUGGGGAAUCUUGCGCAACGGGCGAAAGCCUGACGCAGCGACGCCGCGUGAGGGAAGAAGGCCUUCGGGUUGUAAACCUCUUUCAGGAGGGACGAAGUUACUCGGGUGAAUAGCCCAGAGGGUGACGGUACCUCCAGAAGAAGCCCCGGCUAACUACGUGCCAGCCGCCGCGGUAA